AAGCGAAAAACAGAAACCAAAUGAAGGCCUAAUGAAUGAUGUUCACUCUUACCGUCUCUUGAAACGAGCCAAACUUGAAAUCAUCUGCAGAUGAGAUCCAUAAAUGCAAUUUCCUGGUGAUGGAGCGAUUUGAGGUGUAUACGCAAGCUGAAGAACUUUGCUCCAGGCCAAUUGAGUACAAUGGAGGUGGGAGGCGAGAUUGGAGACCAGAUGGAGUCUGCCCUGGAUACGUCUGAGACUUACUCAUACCUUUGUAAGUUUACACACAUACAUUAGGGUCCAAAAGUCUGAGACCAUAUUGAAAAUUCAGAUUCCUUAGACAAAAGAUGGACAUACCAAAUGCUGAAAUAUAUAUAUAAAUAAAACAUGUUAACUCGCACAGCAGCAGUAAUCACCCAUUUAGUGCUAGCCUUUUAUGUCACGGUCUGUGACUUUCAUCCUCUGCAGGAAACAGUACUAUUUCCCCUCUCACAUUCACAGCAUCCAAUUAAAGCUCCUCUAUUACACACACACACACACACACACAGUCACAUUCAAAGAGCACCAAGAGUCUCAACUGCUCAAGACCAGAUUAUAUCUUCAUGAAAGCCAUCAAUCAUUAUAUGAAAUUAAAAUAUUCCCUCCUAGACUGUGUCACAUUGUGUCUUUGUUCCCAAUCCUGUGUUCUCAUAACGACAGAUGUAGCCAGCAAUAACCCCAAUCUACUUCCAGUGGAAGUCACAUCACUGUUUCGAUAGGCUGAUGUUGGCAUAGCAACAGUGGAACUGAAGAUAUUCCGCUUCAAUUGUUUUAUUACCCGGCCUUCCCUUGGCAGACUCUUUGCAGGCAUGACAGUGACAAUAAUGAUGAACCAGCAAGAGAAGUUUGAACUUUAGUUGAUGGAAAAAAAGUGAUUUUAAUGUUUUACUUCAUUUUUAUAAUAUUUCAGCAUGAUGCGUACACUGUGAUGUCUUUCAUCUUUUAAAUUGGUUUAGAGAAAUAUUAUGAUCGCAUUUUAACUUGACUAAAAUGGCAAACAAGUUCAGGUUAUAUUUUCACAAUGUAAUAAUUAUGGUUAAAUUUAGUGACAUUCAAAAAUGUGUCUGCUGUGCUGAUUUAAAUAUUUCCUCAGUAGACUGGAUCAAAUUUAAUCUAAUCUGUUUAGAAAUGGCCCCUUGUCUGAAGAUGAGUUGUCACAGUAACACUCCUCUAAGUGCUGUUGGCUCUUUAAGUGUGACAGACUUGCAGUUUUAAGCAAUAAAUGGAUUUUAAAUGGUUUUAAGUUCUAAGU